UACGUAGGGUGCGAGCGUUGUCCGGAAUUACUGGGCGUAAAGAGCUCGUAGGUGGUUCGCUAAGUCGGGUGUGAAAUCUCCAGGCUCAACCUGGAGCUUGCAUUCGAUACUGGCGUGACUUGAGUACGGUAGGGGACCACGGAAUUCCUGGUGUAGCGGUGAAAUGCACAGAUAUCAGGAGGAACACCGGUGGCGAAGGCGGAUCUCUGGGCCGAUACUGACGCUGAGGAGCGAAAGCGUGGGGAGCGAACAGG
rnacentral:rRNA from 1 species